rnacentral:hammerhead_ribozyme from 1 species
AUCUAGAUAACGAGUCCCAAAUAAGACGAAACACGCGUAAUAUAU